AGCGAAAGACGGGUGAGAAUCCCGUCCACCGAUUGACUAAGGUUUCCAGAGGAAGGCUCGUCCGCUCUGGGUUAGUCGGGUCCUAAGCUGAGGCCGACAGGCGUAGGCGAUGGAUAACAGGUUGAUAUUCCUGUACCACCUAUAAUCGUUUUAAUCGAUGGGGGGACGCAGUAGGAUAGGCGAAGCGUGCGAUUGGAUUGCACGUCUAAGCAGUAAGGCUGAGUAUUAGGCAAAUCCGGUACUCGUUAAGGCUGAGCUGUGAUGGGGAGAAGACAUUGUGUCUUCGAGUCGUUGAUUUCACACUGCCGAGAAAAGCCUCUAGAUAGAAAAUAGGUGCCCGUACCGCAAACCGACACAGGUAGUCAAGAUGAGAAUUCUAAGGUGAGCGAGCGAACUCUCGUUAAGGAACUCGGCAAAAUGACCCCGUAACUUCGGGAGAAGGGGUGCUCUUUAGGGUUAACGCCCAGAAGAGCCGCAGUGAAUAGGCCCAAGCGACUGUUUAUCAAAAACACAGGUCUCUGCUAAACCGUAAGGUGAUGUAUAGGGGCUGACGCCUGCCCGGUGCUGGAAGGUUAAGAGGAGUGGUUAGCUUCUGCGAAGCUACGAAUCGAAGCCCCAGUAAACGGCGGCCGUAACUAUAACGGUCCUAAGGUAGCGAAAUUCCUUGUCGGGUAAGUUCCGACCCGCACGAAAGGCGUAACGAUUUGGGCACUGUCUCAACGAGAGACUCGGUGAAAUCAUAGUACCUGUGAAGAUGCAGGUUACCCGCGACAGGACGGAAAGACCCCGUGGAGCUUUACUGUAGCCUGAUAUUGAAAUUCGGCACAGCUUGUACAGGAUAGGUAGGAGCCUUUGAAACGUGAGCGCUAGCUUACGUGGAGGCGCUGGUGGG
rnacentral:rRNA from 1 species